rnacentral:rRNA from 1 species
CCCUCAGGGGUGGCGAGUACACUGUGGGGACCGCCGGCGCUAAAUCGGAGGAAGGAGUGGUCGACGGUAGGUCAGUAUGCCCCGAAUAUCCCGGGCUACACGCGGGCUACAAUGGAUGGGACAAUGGGUAUCUACACCGAAAGGUGACGUCAAUCUCUUAAACCCAUUCUUAGUUCGGAUUGAGGGCUGCAACUCGCCCUCAUGAAGAUGGA